UCUUAAAAUGGAAAAUACAACACAGCAAGAUAUUUAAAAAAUUUAUAGAGUUUGUGAUUUACAUUUUUGUAAUCAAGAUCGUACCUGGAAUAAAAAGAGGUUUAGAAGUUAAUUCUAAAGUUUUUAUAUACACCAGUUCAUAUGGAUGAUCAACCUACUGGUAAUUUGGUGUCCGGUGAUGUCGAUCCAGGUACAAACCCUGUAUUUAAAGACAAACAUUUGUUGUAGAACUUGUUGGUGGACCACUUUCUCGUUGGUAUUAGCCAUGUACUGUUACCUGAGAUAAAAGCAGUAACUGAAAAGGAGAAAGGAUCAGAUAAUCCAAAUCAGGAAUCUUCCAGAGUGCAGAUGAUGCAGUUUUUGUGAGUGAGGUAUAAGAUCUGUCUCUUGUUUACAACCAAGUUAGAUCUCAAGCAUAGCAAAGGAAUCGUCCAACCUGUGAAUUCAGUUUAAUUACUGAGAUCAAGGAUGAUGAAACAUUCAUUAUGAUUACACAGAGCUACAAAGAGUUAUGUUGAGAAUCCAAAUUAUCAUAAUGAAUUGAGACGAGACAACGCCUGGGUGGAAAUUGAGGAAAAAUGUAGAUAAAAGGCAUUUUUAUAUUAACGUUAUGAAUCCAAUAUUUUUAGCAAAUCGUCACAUAGAUAAUAUUUCUCUACGCAUAAUACUAAAAUUAAAAAGGUCAGGUUAAAACAACUUUAAUUAUCCAUCGCGUGCGAAAAACAGUGCUUCGCAUGACUUCGGCUUCGGCGGGCUUCGCUGAAGUGCUCAUCAUGCUUUAAACUUUUGCGAAGCGCCAAAAUGUCAUUGGAUUAAUUGCAUGUAUUUUGAUUCUUCGCGUUACUUCGCUUUAAUCCAUGGGUCUGCAUUUUUAUACAUAGAUACCAUUGAUCCAAUUCACAUUUUUUCGCCGCGCUUCGAAUAAGUUCGCGACAAAACUUGGUUAGUUGUAUUUUAUAUUAUUUAAUAUUAUUGUAUUGAUUUAUAAUUAU